rnacentral:lncRNA from 1 species
CUCUCUCUCAAAUUUCUAUUUUUUUAUACGACGAACACAUAAAUCUCUGUCACAUAGCUUCAAUCACCUCUACAUGUACAACUAGCACAACCAUCAUCAUCAUCAUCUUUUGUUUCAUCGUCGCCACCGUAUUUGCUCCGUCAUCAUCUCCGUAAUUUUUACCUUUCUUCUUUCUCGAGAAAUUGAAUCGUUUGAUUCUUAGAUUUGAGAGAGAGCAAUGA